rnacentral:rRNA from 1 species
CCUACGGGGGGCAGCAGUGGGGAAUAUUGGACAAUGGGCGAAAGCCUGAUCCAGCCAUGCCGCGUGUGUGAAGAAGGCCUUCGGGUUGUAAAGCACUUUCAGUGGGGAAGAAAGCCUUGGGGCUAAUACCCUCGAGGAAGGACAUCACCCACAGAAGAAGCACCGGCUAACUCCGUGCCAGCAGCCGCGGUAAUACGGAGGGUGCGAGCGUUAAUCGGAAUUACUGGGCGUAAAGCGCGCGUAGGCGGUCUGAUAAGCCGGUUGUGAAAGCCCCGGGCUCAACCUGGGAACGGCAUCCGGAACUGUCAGGCUAGAGUGCAGGAGAGGAAGGUAGAAUUCCAGGUGUAGCGGUGAAAUGCGUAGAGAGCGGGAGGAAUACCAGUGGCGAAGGCGGCCUUCUGGACUGACACUGACGCUGAGGUGCGAAAGCGUGGGUAGCAAACAGGAUUAGAUACCCUAGUAGUC